rnacentral:rRNA from 1 species
UACGAAUGGAGCGAGCGUUGUUCGGAAUCACUGGGCGUAAAGCGUGCGCAGGCGGUUUUGAAAGUUAGAAGUGAAAGCCCAGGGCUCAACCUUGGAAUUGCUUUUAAAACUUCAAGACUAGAGUACUGGAGGGGUUGGCGGAAUUUCGAGUGUAGCAGUGAAAUGCGUAGAUAUUCGAAGGAACACCGAUGGCGUAGGCAGCCAACUGGACAGUUACUGACGCUCAUGCACGAAAGCGUGGGGAUCAAACAGG